GACGAACGCUGGCGGCGUGCUUAACACAUGCAAGUCGAACGGAAAGGCCCUGCUUUUGUGGGGUGCUCGAGUGGCGAACGGGUGAGUAACACGUGAGUAACCUGCCCUUGACUUUGGGAUAACUUCAGGAAACUGGGGCUAAUACCGGAUAGGAGCUCCUGCUGCAUGGUGGGGGUUGGAAAGUUUCGGCGGUUGGGGAUGGACUCGCGGCUUAUCAGCUUGUUGGUGGGGUAGUGGCUUACCAAGGCUUUGACGGGUAGCCGGCCUGAGAGGGUGACCGGCCACAUUGGGACUGAGAUACGGCCCAGACUCCUACGGGAGGCAGCAGUGGGGAGUAUUGCACAAUGGGCGGAAGCCUGAUGCAGCAACGCCGCGUGCGGGAUGACGGCCUUCUGGUUGUAAACCGCUUUCGCCUGUGACGAAGCGUGAGUGACGGUAAUGGGUAAAGAAGCACCGGCUAACUACGUG
rnacentral:rRNA from 1 species